rnacentral:rRNA from 1 species
CAAUAGCGUAUAUUAAAGUUGUUGCAGUUAAAAAGCUCGUAGUUGGAUUUCUGGUGGGAGCGAUCGGUCUGGCGCUUAGCGCGAGUACUUGCAUCGUCUCCGGCCAUCCUUGGGGAAAGUCUGUCUGGCAUUAAGUUGUCGGGCAGAGGAUCCUCAUCGUUUACUGUGAAAAAAUUAGAGUGUUCAAAGCAGGCUUAUGCCGUUGAAUAUAUUAGCAUGGAAUAAUAAGAUAGGACUUUGGUACUAUUUUGUUGGUUUGCGCACCAAAGCAAUGAUUAAUAGGGACAGUUGGGGGUAUUCGUAUUCCGUUGUCAGAGGUGAAAUUCUUGGAUUUACGGAAGACGAACUACUGCGAAAGCAUUUACCAAGGAUGUUUUCAUUAA